rnacentral:rRNA from 1 species
UUCAGAGUUUAUUCAUGCUCAGGAUGAACGCUGGCGGCGUGCCUAAUACAUGCAAGUCGAGCGAACGGACGAGAAGCUUGCUUCUCUGAUGUUAGCGGCGGACGGGUGAGUAACACGUGGAUAACCUACCUAUAAGACUGGGAUAACUUCGGGAAACCGGAGCUAAUACCGGAUAAUAUUUUGAACCGCAUGGUUCAAAAGUGAAAGACGGUCUUGCUGUCACUUAUAGAUGGAUCCGCGCUGCAUUAGCUAGUUGGUAAGGUAACGGCUUACCAAGGCAACGAUGCAUAGCCGACCUGAGAGGGUGAUCGGCCACACUGGAACUGAGACACGGUCCAGACUCCUACGGGAGGCAGCAGUAGGGAAUCUUCCGCAAUGGGCGAAAGCCUGACGGAGCAACGCCGCGUGAGUGAUGAAGGUCUUCGGAUCGUAAAACUCUGUUAUUAGGGAAGAACAUAUGUGUAAGUAACUGUGCACAUCUUGACGGUACCUAAUCAGAAAGCCACGGCUAACUACGUGCCAGCAGCCGCGGUAAUACGUAGGUGGCAAGCGUUAUCCGGAAUUAUUGGGCGUAAAGCGCGCGUAGGCGGUUUUUUAAGUCUGAUGUGAAAGCCCACGGCUCAACCGUGGAGGGUCAUUGGAAACUGGAAAACUUGAGUGCAGAAGAGGAAAGUGGAAUUCCAUGUGUAGCGGUGAAAUGCGCAGAGAUAUGGAGGAMCACCAGUGGCGAAGGCGACUUUCUGGUCUGUAACUGACGCUGAUGUGCGAAAGCGUGGGGAUCAAACAGGAUUAGAUACCCUGGUAGUCCACSCCGUAAACGAUGAGUGCUAAGUGUUAGGGGGUUUCCGCCCCUUAGUGCUGCAGCUAACGCAUUAAGCACCUCCCGCCCUGGG